CGUAAUGUAGCUUAACUAAAGCAUCUUGCUUACACCAAGAAACUAUCCGUGAAAAUCAGAUCAUUUCGA
rnacentral:tRNA from 1 species